GGGGGCGAUCAGGUUUCGACGUGGUCGAUUCUCCGGUUGAGCUGCAAGCCGAGGUCCCCGGUCGGCCUCGUAAAACAACCGGGAACAAACGCAAGUGCGAAGAACCAAAACGCACUCGCUCUCGCUGCCUAAACCACAGUGAGGCGCGUCGCUCCGGGCUCGGCCCGUGGCUCGGGUAGCGGCGUCAGAAAACGGGCUCGGCGCCUAGGGAGAGCCAAUCGCCCGAAG
rnacentral:tmRNA from 1 species